rnacentral:ncRNA from 10 species
AUCGUUCAUCUUCGAAAGAAGACGGAAGUAGGUGAAAGCCGAAGGAACGCGAC